GACGAACGCUGGCGGCGUGCCUAAUACAUGCAAGUAGAACGCACAGUUUAUACCGUAGCUUGCUACACCAUAGACUGUGAGUUGCGAACGGGUGAGUAACGCGUAGGUAACCUGCCUGGUAGCGGGGGAUAACUAUUGGAAACGAUAGCUAAUACCGCAUAAUAUUGAUUAUUGCAUGAUAAUUGAUUGAAAGAUGCUAUUGCAUCACUACCAGAUGGACCUGCGUUGUAUUAGCUAGUAGGUGAGGUAACGGCUCACCUAGGCGACGAUACAUAGCCGACCUGAGAGGGUGAUCGGCCACACUGGGACUGAGACACGGCCCAGACUCCUACGGGAGGCAGCAGUAGGGAAUCUUCGGCAAUGGACGAAAGUCUGAACGAGCAACGCCGCGUGAGUGAAGAAGGUUGUCGGAUCGUAAAGCUCUGUUGUAAGAGAAGAACGGGUGUGAGAGUGGAAAGUUCACACUGUGACGGUAUCUUACCAGAAAGGGACGGCUAACUACGUG
rnacentral:rRNA from 1 species